AUGCACUGGAUUUCUUGGAAAGAGUUAGCGACACCCAAGUGUAAUGGGGGUAUGGGUUUCAGAGAUUUGCAGCAGUUUAAUCUUGCUAUGUUGGGCAAACAUGGAUGGCGGUUUUUAACAAACCCAAAUUCCUUGUGUGCAAGAGUUCUAAAGGGGCGAUAUUUCCCAGAUACUGAUUUCAUGCAAGCAACGGCACCAAAGACGGCUUCGACUACUUGGAGGACCAUUAUUGCGGGAAGAGAUGCCCUUAAAGUUGGUCUAAUUACACGAGUAGGAGAUGGCUCUACCAUAUCGGUGUGGUCUGAUAAGUGGAUUCCGUGUGGUCUGAUAAGUGGAUUCCAGGUACCAUCACUAUGA
rnacentral:rRNA from 1 species